rnacentral:rRNA from 1 species
GGGUUGUGAGGUUAAGCGACUAAGCGUACACGGUGGAUGCCCUGGCAGUCAGAGGCGAUGAAGGACGUGCUAAUCUGCGAUAAGCGCCGGUAAGGUGAUAUGAACCGUUAUAACCGGCGAUUUCCGAAUGGGGAAACCCAGUGUGACUCGUCACACUAUCAUUAACUGAAUCCAUAGGUUAAUGAGGCGAACCGGGGGAACUGAAACAUCUAAGUACCCCGAGGAAAAGAAAUCAACCGAGAUUCCCCCAGUAGCGGCGAGCGAACGGGGAGGAGCCCAGAGCCUGAAUCAGCAAGUGUGUUAGUGGAAGCGUCUGGAAAGGCGCGCGAUACAGGGUGACAGCCCCGUACACAAAAGCGCAUGUGCUGUGAGCUCGAUGAGUAGGGCGGGACACGUGGUAUCCUGUCUGAAUAUGGGGGGACCAUCCUCCAAGGCUAAAUACUCCUGACUGACCGAUAGUGAACCAGUACCGUGAGGGAAAGGCGAAAAGAACCCCGGCGAGGGGAGUGAAAAAGAACCUGAAACCGUGUACGUACAAGCAGUGGGAGCACAGGUUUACC